rnacentral:rRNA from 1 species
ACGUAGGGAGCAAGCGUUGUCCGGAAUCAUUGGGCGUAAAGGGCGCGUAGGCGGUCUGUUAAGUCAAGUGUGAAAAACAUGGGCUCAACCCAUGAAGUGCGCUUGAAACUGGCAGACUGGAGUACAGGAGAGGAAAGUGGAAUUCCUAGUGUAGCGGUGAAAUGCGUAGAUAUUAGGAAGAACAUCGAUGGCGAAGGCAGCUUUCUGGCCUUAAACUGACGCUGAGGCGCGAAAGCGUGGGGAGCAAACAGGA